GUCUUUCUAUGACAUUAACACAUUGUGAUUUCCUGGCCUUUGAGGAGCAGAGGAGGGGUGGGGAGAGCGUGAGAAAGCUCAAAGGCGAGGAGGCAGCUCAGGCGACGGCCCUUUGCCCAGAACCAUCACUCAAGGGGCCGCCAGGCCUCCUCCGCGCCCUCCCUGCCGCGGGAGCUUAAGGGGAAGUAGCAGGAGGCGUGAGGCCCAAGAGAGCAUCGUCCCUUUAUGCCGAGCAGGAGCGGGGGCUUAGGGACGUGCAGAGGCCAGAGCGCAUCUUUUCUGAGACAGAUGUGUUGGUCAAAGUGUGCGGGAAGCGUUCUGUAGCCUUGUAAUAUCCCGACACAGAGGCACACACACCGCCUCCCAGGAACCCAGCUCUCCCGGGCAAGCUGCAAGCCCGGUGGUGAAGGGGUUCGGCGCUAAUUAAGCACGUUGGGAACGGAGGGAGUGCUCACCCAGGCGCCGCCGCCCGGUUUCCAGCGCGAGGACCCGAGGGCUCGCCGUUCCCCUUUGCUGACUGCAGGAUGGAGCCGAAUCCCUCAAGAUGUUCCCCUGUUCUCGACAAUGCCUCGCCAAGGUCCCCCAGGGACGUCUUAAUCCCAGACCACCUCCUCAGCCUGGUGUCUGGCCGGGACCCACCGCCCCCGCAGCGGGCCCUAGAGGCAAGAGGGGAGGGUGCGUCCUCGGCGCCCGGGACGCUGAGAAAACUCUCCGGGCCUCCGCCCGCCGCUCUCCCCUCCUCCUCCCCUCCUCCUCCUCGCCUCCUCCCUGCUCUCCAGCACCGCCCGGACAAAGCGGGCUCGAGCGCGUUCCCCCACUCCAGGCCGCAGUAAUAGAUAGCUCGGCAGCAGGCGGUUUGAAAGGAAUUCAUUAGGACGCUGCCUGCCCUGCCUCCGCGCACUUCACGCCCAGACCCCGAGGUGGCUCCGGCGGUGCGAGGGAAGUGAAUUCCCGUUGGAAUCCACGGGGGAGGAGGUGUCUGUGGGGUCUCCAGGCUUUUCCCCUCCUUCCUCUACUCCCACAAAAGAAGAAAAAGAAAAGGAAAAUAAAAAGAUCGAAGACCAGGGCAAAAGGCUGAUUUCUUUAUGGGCAUAAUAAAUACUCCCUCCCAUUAUGAGAUAGUUACAGUAACACAGUCUGGGGUGCCAUUACCUUGUUUUUUUGAAUCCUAAGGAAAAAAACGGCCGACUCCUUCCUUGAUUUACGCGGCUGCAGCCGGGGCCCUUCGCCGCCGGCCCUGGCACGCCUGUGUAAGCUGUUUCUCACUUCGCCCAUCCACUUUGCUAUUUUGCCGCAAAAAUAUUGUCCUAGGGACUGAUUACCCUCCG